rnacentral:lncRNA from 1 species
UCAAAGGCUCAGAGGCAAGGACGCAUGGUAGACUUAAGUCAAGCGCGCAACAUAAUGCAUUAAAUCAAGUAAUCACAAUGGACGGUCAUGAUUAUAACAUUGAGACACGAUCCAAGGGCGGGGAAACAAACACGUGGGGAUGGUGGUGGAAACCACCAUCUUCUCCGGUGAGAUACCAUAUUCCGGCCACCACGCGCAGGAAAAAAAUUUGUAACGAAAAUAAAAAGUAAGGACAUCAAAAUGAAGCUCAGGUGAUGUACAUC